rnacentral:lncRNA from 1 species
AGUCUAAUGAGUAGGACAGGGCAUUGAAACACCAUGCAAGAUCAUCGCUCUCUGACAGGGCCUGAAUGUUAGAGCCCAGCAUGCUAAAAAUCUCCAUCCCUGGUGGGCAGCUCGGGGCAGGGUAGGUCUCCUUCUCCUCUGCCACUGCUGGGGUGGCUGGAGACUCAGCAGGGGGCUUGAGAAGAGGUGGGUUCCGUCCGUGCUCAGGCUCUGCUGUGUGUGUUUCUCCUCCAGAGCAAUUUCUGAAUGGCUGAGCUGCAGUUAUCUUUAUUGAAAGCCAUCUCACUUCCCAAAAUGUCUGGCUCUUUGGGGUCAAGUUCAGCAUGCUUCAUCCCCAAUACUAUAUAAUCACAUCUACGCAGAACCUUGAAAACCAAAUGGCUGCUACAAUGCUUAUAGGGCAUUUUCCAGGAAUUAUUCCGCUUUCCGCUGAUGUGUAAUGGCAUGUUUGAAAUAUGUGGUUACAGGAUUUUAGUCUAGAGCUGCGAUAACACUACAUAGUCAAUCUUUUCUCAGUAUAGGGAUUUUUUAAUCCAUAAACACAUCAUGUUUAAACACUGGCUGGCAGAGGCAGGUCUCUGCAGUCUGUCAGCUCACUGUAGAGGGGGCUGGAGGCAGGCAGGGUGACGAAGAGCUGUGCCUGGGUCACAGCACAGCGUCUGCGCUCCACGAGGGUGGUGACCACAAGAGUGACUGCAGCGAGUCAAAAUACAGCCCUAGAAGGAAAGCAGUCUUCGGUUUUCCCAAUGGAGACGGUCCCCCAGGGAUCACCAAAUAGAGAAAUAAUUUCCAUGAGCCUUACUGGAGUUUAUAUGGAAGUAGGUUCUGAAUUGCUUAAGGGGAACUCAUAAGAGCAGAUCUCUUGAAACUUUUGCCUAAGGAAUAUGAAAAUAUUGAAAAUGACAAGGUAACUGCUGUAGAAACAAGAGCACAUCACAGCAUUAUCAGUAAUCAUUAAUAUAGACUUUGUGAUUGUGAUAACAAAUGAAACCCUGUUGUUUGUCAGGCUUCACUUACAGAAAAAAAUAACAAAUCUUGGUAGGGCAAAAAAGUACAUAUACUGUCAACAACACAUUGUCACUCCUUCAUGUGAGGAAAAUUGUUAAUAAAGACCAUGUGUGUUUUUCCUCA